rnacentral:rRNA from 1 species
UACGGAGGGUGCGAGCGUUGUCCGGAAUCACUGGGCGUAAAGGGCGCGUAGGUGGCGCGGGCAGUCAACGGUGAAAGUUCGGGGCUCAACCCUGAAUCGGCCGUCGAUACUCCCGUGCUUGAGCACUGUAGAGGCAGAUGGAAUUCCGGGUGUAGCGGUGGAAUGCGUAGAGAUCCGGAAGAACACCGGUGGCGAAGGCGGUCUGCUGGGCAGUUGCUGACACUGAGGCGCGACAGCGUGGGGAGCGAACAGG